UUUAUGUCAAAACAACGUCUGUUAAAAUGUCUGAAAAGGUAUAUUAUUAGCCUACUCAUUGUAAAUCGACGCGAGUUUUUCAACAUCCUGACCCACACAGCAGAGGGUUCCAAAACGGACCCUCUGCGGCGGACUCCGUGCGGAUUCGCACAUCGAACGCGCCCUUUCCAGUCCUAACGGCUCCUUCAGUUUUCAAAUUUCUCGUUGAUGAAGUGGAAGACGAAACAGCGGCGUCUGAAGGCUCACUGUCAUUCACAAGUGGCUCCAGUCUGGUUUGGGGGUUCUGCCAUCCAAGUAAAGUUAUUCACAAGUGGCUCCAGUCUGGUUUGGGGGUCUACGCUUUCUCAUCCUGUCCUGCC